rnacentral:tRNA from 1 species
UCAUAUUAUGCCAGAGUUUCAUGGGCCGUUUUGAUGUGGCGGCUACGAGUAUUAAGUACUCUAAUAUGAG